GUCCCGCGCUCCUCCCUGCCCCCGCCCUCGCCGGCUUUAUUCCCCAUUUAAGAGACUAAGAUGUCCCCAGGGCCGCAGACCGUUUCCGCCACCAGGAGGGCGGGUCCUCUUCCCAGGGGCCCCUCACUUCCCGGGUUGGUCAAGCCUGAGUCCCAAGCAGGUCCAGCGGCCGUGAGCCUCCGGGGACUUUUGGGGAAGCUGUGAAACCCGGGUCUUCAGAUGGCCCUGUGGAGCUGGCGGCUUGUGGGUCACGCAGCUGCCUCCCUGGCCCGGGCAUCAAGCUCCUGCCAGGUGGGUAGGUGACAAGAUCCUAAGAUCACAGGCUUUUUGGUCAGACGGACUGGAUUGAGUUCAGGUGGCCACGUGGGCUUGUGGGUGCUGUGGACACUGAUCUGAACAGGCCGAGGCCCCGCCUUGCAAGUUAGUAGUGAGCCUUUGGACAGUGUAUCCCCUGAGCGUAUGUGAAAAGCAGUGAGCCGGCAGCAGGUGUAAACACUAACAGCCGUGCUUAACGGAGGAGUUACUCGGCGCCUGACAUUUGGCUAAUUGUGUCUAUGUCACAUCACAUUUCAUGCCCAUCUGAUCUGGGGUCAGGUUACAGAUGCGGAAGCCGAGGCUCAGACUCACAGCAGAGCGACUCCAGAAAGGGCUGGAACUCCUGUCUUUUCUGUUUGUUUCGAGUUGUCCUGAGUCACUCGUGAUAGUGCAGGGCUGACGAGCAGGACCUGGGUGAUGGAGGAGGAGACGGCGCGUGACAGGCAGAGGUGUAGACGGCCUGACUGCCGGCCGGCCAGCCGCAGCCCCCGGCGCCUCAGGCACAGGUGAGGGAGCCUGCUCUUCGCAGCAGCAGCAGCAGCAUCCCUGGACCAGAAACACUUCGAAGGAGAAGACGCCGCGACUGAAGGAGAAAGGCCAGAGCACGGCCCGCGGCGGGCGCUCGGCCAGCACCGGCCUCGCCCCCGUCCCAACCAGAAGAGGCUGCCAUGCUGGGACUGGGUCCUUGGAGCCCCUGGCAGGCGCGGGUCUGUCUGCAGAGGACGCGUCCACAUGGAACACGCCGUAAUUGAUUGAAAACGCCUCCAACAGGUAGAGACAUGGGUCUUGAGUCUCACCGC
rnacentral:lncRNA from 9 species